AGCUCGCAUCCAAAGAGCACCAGGCGACCACGCACCAACCAUUCCGUCCUUCAUCACACGCAAUCCAGAUGCGAUCUCCCGUCCCCGCCGUCGCCGGCGACCCGGCGGCUCCUUCCUCGCCGCCACGCCUAUCCCCUCCCACCUCCUCGCCCCCGCCACCGCUUUCUCAUGCCCUGGAGACUUUGCCUUGCCACCCCCGAGUCGAGGAUCCAAACUUCCCCCCUCCUCCGGCACGGCGCCGGCGACCCAGCGUCUCCGGCCUUCCUCCCCGCCGCAUGCCUAGCCCUUCCCCACUUCCCUGCCUACCCGCCUCCGCUUCCACCUAUGGCCCCUUCCCGUCCCCAAACCGCGGAUCCAAAUUUCCCCCCUCCCCCGGGCCGGCGCCGGCGCCAACAGCGGCUCAAAAAACGAGAUCUUUCGUCCUUCUCCAGCCGGUCGACCUGAUCUCCCGUUUCAGCUGGCUACCCCGAAGGCCAACGGCGUCAGGCCGGUCCAGAUCUGGCGGCUCUACUCGGCGACCUUUGCUGUGAUGAAUCACAAGGCCGACCGGUAUCUGACUACAAGACUGGUUGGAUCUAUCACUUAAUCCUGCUGUUGUGCCAUCUUCUCUUCUCAUACUUUCAAGAGCUUUUACCCUGGCUGGGAGAACGAAACCCGUGGAUGCUGUUGUAGCAACAGCGUCUUCUUUGCCAGAUGAAGUUGUGGAUACAAUUGGGACAGUAUUGCCAUCUGAAGAUUCAGUUUCUGAGAGGAGGAGAAAACUGAAAUUCCUUGAGAUGCAGGAAGAACUUAUCAAGUGCAACCAUAAUACUUGGCACAAGUACGAAACCUACACAGGCAGUACGUGUGAGAAGCUAACACAUGAAUGCUCUCUUUGAACCCGUGCUUCAUAUUUUGUUUUUAGCGGGCGGGCACGGACUGGCUCCUUAUUUUAUUAGUUUGUUUAUCUCUUGUUAAUUCAGAAACUCAUUUAUCUGAUUUACUUUUUUUUCUGACACCCCAUGGUAACAUAUGUGCCCUGCAUUGCCUCAGAAUUUGGAAUGUGUCUAAUAUCCUGUCAUGCCCUUCUCAUAAUUAAACCUCAAGUGUCUUGCCUAUUCAUGUCUUCCUUGUAUGCAAUAUAUGUAUUAAGAAGCUAUACAUGGUUUAUGCUAUUCCAUGGUAAAGCUAGAAUAUGUCUAGUGGAAAGGGCAUAUAACUAAAAUGUCACGAUGGCAGUAAAUUUUUAUCUGAACUCUUGAUAUGCCUUUAUUUGUUACUUAAGGCCAUGUAGUGUAGUGUCAACUGUCAACAUAUCAUAUGAACAACUUCUAGAUGCACACCUUAUGAGAAAAUGCGUGUCCAGUUCUAUUGGGCUGAGACUUGUCUGAAAGCAGUUGGGGUUUGGCUCUGCUGGAAAAGCUGUUAUGGAGCUGUAGGGGCAUUUGGCAAACUAGCAGUAAGAGCUGUGGCUGUGUGUGAGAAUGUCUAGAUGAACCUAAGGUUUUGAGAGCUGUUUAUAUGCUGAUCUAAUGUUGGUUGCGUAAGAUCGUGAUGAUUCAAGUUCUACUGAUUUAAAGAGAAUCACUUAAUUUCUGCUGAUUAGUCUAUAAUUAUGCUGUUGCCUUGGCGCAGCCGUAAAGCUGUUACCUUGUGACCAUGAGGUCACGGGUUCGAGUCCUGGAAACAGCCUCUUGCAGAAAUGUAGGGAAAGGUUGCGUACUAUAGACCCAAGUGGUCGGACCCUUCCCCGGACCCUGCGCAAGCGGGAUUGCUGCUAACACUCAGCUAUUACCUGUUUAUUUUAACUUAGCGUAAUGCUGCUACUGAACAUGUAAUCAGUUAUUUUAAUGCUUUCAAUGCAACUAUUCAGGAGGAGAGAAGAAGAAAGAGAAAGAAGAGAAGGCAAAA